CGACGGAGACCUCAUCCACAGUAGCACAGUACACACAGUACGCCCUUCCUCCCUCCCUGUCCCGCAACGAUUGAUUUGGACGUUGAAGGCGAUAUGGUUUUUUUUUCCUUUUCCAUCGUGAGAGUCACGUCAUCUUUGUUCCUGAUGGUAGCCGCCUGGCCGGGCCCCCGGGACCCGGACGAUGGGAGUGUGUACCCGCACCUUGAUCACCUAGAUCACUCUGAUCACAGUUACGGUGUUGUACUUAAGCUGUGAGGUAACUAUACUACAAGA
rnacentral:lncRNA from 1 species